rnacentral:rRNA from 1 species
UGGGGAAUUUUGGACAAUGGGCGAAAGCCUGAUCCAGCAAUGCCGCGUGUGUGAAGAAGGCCUUCGGGUUGUAAAGCACUUUUGUCCGGAAAGAAAUCCUUGGCUCUAAUACAGUCGGGGGAUGACGGUACCGGAAGAAUAAGCACCGGCUAACUACGUGCCAGCAGCCGCGGUAAUACGUAGGGUGCAAGCGUUAAUCGGAAUUACUGGGCGUAAAGCGUGCGCAGGCGGUUUGCUAAGACCGAUGUGAAAUCCCCGGGCUCAACCUGGGAACUGCAUUGGUGACUGGCAGGCUAGAGUAUGGCAGAGGGGGUAGAAUUCCACGUGUAGCAGUGAAAUGCGUAGAGAUGUGGAGGAAUACCGAUGGCGAAGGCAGCCCCCUGGGCCAAUACUGACGCUCAUGCACGAAAGCGUGGGGAGCAAACAGGAUUAGAUACCCUGGUAGUCCACGCCCUAAACGAUGUCAACUAGUUGUUGGGGAUUCAUUUCCUUAGUAACGUAGCUAACGCGUGAAGUUGACCGCCUGGGGAGUACGGUCGCAAGGUUAAAACUUAAAUGAAUUGACGGGGUCAUAGCUG